rnacentral:rRNA from 1 species
AUUGAACGCUGGCGGAAUGCUUUACACAUGCAAGUCGAACGGCAGCACGGGGCAACCUGGUGGCGAGUGGCGAACGGGUGAGUAAUACAUCGGAACGUGCCCAAUCGUGGGGGAUAACGUAGCGAAAGUUACGCUAAUACCGCAUACGAUCUACGGAUGAACGCGGGGGAUCGCAAGACCUCGCGCGAACGGAGCGGCCGAUGUCAGCUUAGGUAGUUGGUGGGGUAAAGGCUCACCAAGCCAACGAUCUGUAGCUGGUCUGAGAGGACGACCAGCCACACUGGGACUGAGACACGGCCCAGACUCCUACGGGAGGCAGCAGUGGGGAAUUUUGGACAAUGGGCGCAAGCCUGAUCCAGCCAUUCCGCGUGCAGGAUGAAGGCCUUCGGGUUGUAAACUGCUUUUGUACGGAACGAAACGGUUCUCUCUAAUACAGGGGGCUAAUGACGGUACCGUAAGAAUAAGCACCGGCUAACUACGUGCCAGCAGCCGCGGUAAGAC